AGGACGAACGCUGGCGGCGUGCUUAACACAUGCAAGUCGAGCGAGGCCCUUCCUUCGGGAAGGAGCCCUAGCGGCGAACGGGUGAGUAACACGUGGGCAACCUGCCCCUAGCACUGGGAUAACUCCGGGAAACCGGGGCUAAUACCGGAUAUGACCUUGGAGGGCAUCCUCCUUGGUGUAAAAGGAUUCUGGCUAGGGAUGGGCCCGCGGCCUAUCAGCUUGUUGGUGGGGUAAUGGCCUACCAAGGCGACGACGGGU
rnacentral:rRNA from 1 species